rnacentral:rRNA from 1 species
UACGGGGGGGGCGAGCGUUGUUCGGAAUUACUGGGCGUAAAGGGUUUGUAGGUGGCCUGCUAAGUCAGACGUGAAAUCCCUCAGCUUAACUGGGGAACUGCGUCUGAUACUGGAUGGCUUGAGUUUGGGAGAGGGAUGCGGAAUUCCAGGUGUAGCGGUGAAAUGCGUAGAUAUCUGGAGGAACACCGGUGGCGAAGGCGGCAUCCUGGACCAACACUGACGCUGAGUGAGCGAAAGCCAGGGGAGCAAACGGG